rnacentral:hammerhead_ribozyme from 1 species
AUCCAUCUGGCGAGUCCCAAAUAGGACGAAACGAGCGUCAAACUGGAU